ACCAUCUUUACACCAGCCUUGUCAAUGGCCCUGGAUGAAGAAGGGAGAUAAGUGACCACAGUGACAUUUCCAGUCUCUCAUCAUAGCUGUGACCUUUGUAAAAUCAAUCACAUGGGACAAGGGAGCCUGGGGUCACCCCUGUCCUUUGGGCAGUGGGGCUGGAAAGCAGGAGUAAAGAAGAGAAAGGAAUAAAAGAAGAGAAAGCCCUAUAAUCCUAUCAUCCUUCCUCUCAGAUGCAGGCUUGUGGUCCCUUCCGACCCUGUGGAUGCAGAAGGAAGAGGCAAACUCCUUUCUGUAUAUGGAUGUCUAGAGUUGUCAUAAUGAUGUGGUGAAGCAAGUUUAAGCUGCGUGUUUGGUUGAGAAGGGAUACUUUUUUCUCAUCAUUAAUCACAAAUUAAAGCCAUUAAAAAGAUAAAGUACCCCUCAAUUUCGAUUUUGCUCUGGAGAGCCAGCACUUGUGUUCUUUCUGCAAAUCAUCUGUCGAUACAAUGGGACUGUGAGGUUGGCUGCUGCCAACACAUCCAUCUGCCAACCAUGGCCAUCUGCAGAGGAGACGCAAAGCCUCAAUGCCUGGAAAUGAAUUUAUUAUUUGUUGGCAUUUCAAGGACAAACAUCUCUUUGGCCACAGCUACUGAAACUUGAAUCCAAAAAUGGGAGGAAAAUCUAGGCUCAGUUGGAACUUCCAGCAUGAUGCUGAAUACGAGUGUGAGAGGAG